rnacentral:rRNA from 1 species
CCUACGGGUGGCAGCAGUGGGGAAUAUUGCGCAAUGGGCGAAAGCCUGACGCAGCGACGCCGCGUGAGGGAUGAAGGUCUUCGGAUCGUAAACCUCUGUCAGCAGGGAAGAACGGUCACUGUGCUAAUCAGCAGUGAAUUGACGGUACCUGCAAAGGAAGCACCGGCUAACUCCGUGCCAGCAGCCUCGGUAAGACGGAGGGGGCGAGCGUUAAUCGGAAUUGCUGGGCGGAAAGCGCUCGUAGGCGGUAUGUCAAGUCAAGGGUGAAAUCCCCGCGCUCAACGUGGGAACUGCCUUUGAAACUGGCAAACUGGAGUGUGUGAGAGGAUAGUGGAAUGCCAGGUGUAGGAGUGAAAUCCGUAGAUAUCUGGAGGAACAUCAGUGGCGAAGGCGACUAUCUGCCACAUAACUGACGCUGAGGAGCGAAAGCGUGGGUAGCAAACAGGAUUAGAUACCCUUGUAGUC